AUAGGGCUUCUCCUUCGGGAGCAGAGUGACAAAAAGUGCAUGGUUGUCGUCAGCUCGUGUCGUGAGAUGUUGGGUUAAGUCCCGCAACGAGCGCAACCCUUGAUCUUAGUUGCCAUCAUUAAGUUGGGCACUCUAAGGUGACUGCCGGUGACAAACCGGAGGAAGGUGGGGAUGACGUCAAAUCAUCANGNCCCUUAUGACCUGGGCUACACACGUGCUACAAUGGACGGUACAAAGAGCUGCAAGACCGCGAGGUGGAGCUANNNNNNNNAAACCGUUCUCAGUUCGGAUUGUAGGCUGCAACUCGCCUACAUGAAGCUGGAAUCGCUAGUAAUCGCGGAUCAACAGGCCGCGGUGAAUACGUUCCCGGGCCUUGUACACAC
rnacentral:rRNA from 1 species